rnacentral:rRNA from 1 species
AGAACUUAGCAGAGAUGCUUUGGUGCCUUCGGGGAACUCGUGAGACAGGUGCUGCAUGGCUGUCGUCAGCUCGUGUUGUGAAAUGUUGGGUUAAGUCCCGCAACGAGCGCAACCCUUUAUCCUUUGUUGCCAGCGGUCCGGCCGGGAACUCAAAGGAGACUGCCAGUGAUAAACUGGAGGAAGGUGGGGAUGACGUCAAGUCAUCAUGGCCCUUACGAGUAGGGCUACACACGUGCUACAAUGGCGCAUACAAAGAGAAGCGACCUCGCGAGAGCAAGCGGACCUCAUAAAGUGCGUCGUAGUCCGGAUUGGAGUCUGCAACUCGACUCCAUGAAGUCGGAAUCGCUAGUAAUCGUGGAUCAGAAUGCCACGGUGAAUACGUUCCCGGGCCUUGUACACACCGCCCGUCACACCAUGGGAGUGGGUUGCAAAAGAAGUAGGUAGCUUAACCUUCGGGAGGGCGCUUACCACUUUGUGAUUCAUGACUGGGGUGAAGUCGUAACAAGGUAGGCGUAGUGCU